rnacentral:rRNA from 1 species
GAAAAGAAACCAACAGGGAUUGCCCUAGUAACGGCGAGUGAAGCGGCAACAGCUCAAAUUUGAAAUCUGGCCCUCGGGUCCGAGUUGUAAUUUGUAGAGGAUGCUUUUGGCGCGGUGCCUUCCGAGUUCCCUGGAACGGGACGCCUUAGAGGGUGAGAGCCCCGUACGGUUGGACACCAAGCCUCUGUAAAGCUCCUUCGACGAGUCGAGUAGUUUGGGAAUGCUGCUCUAAAUGGGAGGUAAAUUUCUUCUAAAGCUAAAUAUUGGCCAGAGACCGAUAGCGCACAAGUAGAGUGAUCGAAAGAUGAAAAGCACUUUGAAAAGAGGGUUAAACAGCACGUGAAAUUGUUGAAAGGGAAGCGUUUGCGACCAGACCUUUUCCUGGCGGAUCAUCCGGUGGUUUCCACCGGUGCACUUCGCCAGGUCGAGGCCAGCAUCGGUUUCCGCAGGGGGAUAAAAGCUCAGGGAACGUAGCUCCUCCGGGAGUGUUAUAGCCCUCCGCACAAUACCCUUGGGGGGACCGAGGACCGCGCCUUCGGGCAAGGAUGCUGGCAUAAUGGUUGUCAACGACCCGUCUUGAAACACGGACCAAGGAGUCGAACAUUUGUGCGAGUGUUUGGGUGUUAAACCCUCACGCGUAAUGAAAGUGAACGGAGGUGAGAGCCUUUUUAGGUGCAUCAUCGACCGAUCCUGAUGUCUUCGGAUGGAUUUGAGUAAGAGCAUAACUGUUCGGACCCGAAAGAUGGUGAACUAUGCGUGGAUAGGGUGAAGCCAGAGGAAACUCUGGUGGAGGCUCGCAGCGGUUCUGACGUGCAAAUCGAUCGUCAAAUCUGCGCAUGGGGGCGAAAGACUUAUCGAACCAUCUAGUAGCUGGUU